AGUGAACGCUGGCGGUAGGCCUAACACAUGCAAGUCGAACGGCAGCACAGUAAGAGCUUGCUCUUACGGGUGGCGAGUGGCGGACGGGUGAGGAAUACAUCGGAAUCUACUUUUUCGUGGGGGAUAACGUAGGGAAACUUACGCUAAUACCGCAUACGACCUACGGGUGAAAGCAGGGGAUCUUCGGACCUUGCUCGAUUGAAUGAGCCGAUGUCGGAUUAGCUAGUUGGCGGGGUAAAGGCCCACCAAGGCGACGAUCCGUAGCUGGUCUGAGAGGAUGAUCAGACACAAUGGAACUGAGACACGGUCCAGACUCCUACGGGAGGCAGCAGUGGGGAAUAUUGGACAAUGGGCGCAAGCCUGAUCCAGCCAUACCGCGUGGGUGAAGAAGGCAUUCGGGUUGUAAAGCCCUUUUGUUGGGAAAGAAAAGCAGCAGGUUAAUACCCCGCUGUUCUGACGGUACCCUAAGAAUAAGCACCGGCUAACUUCGUG
rnacentral:rRNA from 1 species